rnacentral:rRNA from 1 species
AAAGGGUGCGUAGGCGGGCAAUUAAGUCAGGGGUGAAAUCCCGAGGCUCAACCUCGGAACUGCCCUUGAUACUGGUUGUCUUGAGUCCGGAAGAGGUGAGUGGAACUGCGAGUGUAGAGGUGAAAUUCGUAGAUAUUCGCAAGAACACCGGUGGCGAAGGCGGCUCACUGGUCCGGAACUGACGCUGAGGCACGACAGCGUGGGGAGCAAACAGGAUUAGAUACCCUAGU